rnacentral:rRNA from 1 species
CAGGUUUACCUGUGUGACUGCGUACCUUUUGUAUAAUGGGUCAGCGACUUAUAUUCUGUAGCAAGGUUAACCGAAUAGGGGAGCCGGAGGGAAACCGAGUCUUAAUUGGGCGUUAAGUUGCAGGGUAUAGACCCGAAACCCGGUGAUCUAGCCAUGGGCAGGUUGAAGGUUGGGUAACACUAACUGGAGGACCGAACCGACUAAUGUUGAAAAAUUAGCGGAUGACCUGUGGCUGGGGGUGAAAGGCCAAUCAAACCGGGAGAUAGCUGGUUCUCCCCGAAAGCUAUUUAGGUAGCGCCUCGUGAAUUCAUCUCCGGGGGUAGAGCACUGUUUCGGCUAGGGGGCCAUCCCGGCUUACCAACCCGAUGCAAACUGCGAAUACCGGAGAAUGUUAUCACGGGAGACACACGGCGGGUGCUAACGUCCGUCGUGAAGAGGGAAACAACCCAGACCGCCAGCUAAGGUCCCAAAGUCAUGGUUAAGUGGGAAACGAUGUGGGAAGGCCCAGACAGCCAGGAUGUUGGCUUAGAAGCAGCCAUCAUUUAAAGAAAGCGUAAUAGCUCACUGGUCGAGUCGGCCUGCGCGGAAGAUGUAACGGGGCUAAACCAUGCACCGAAGCUGCGGCAGCGAACGUAUCACUUAAAGCGAUUCAGCGGGUUACGAUUGACGGAGCGAAGCGACGUCAAAGCGUAUACAAAGUCGAGUCGGUUUAAGGAUACGUUCGUUGGGUAGGGGAGCGUUCUGUAAGCCUGUGAAGGUGUGUCGUGAGGCAUGCUGGAGGUAUCAGAAGUGCGAAUGCUGACAUAAGUAACGAUAAAGCGGGUGAAAAGCCCGCUCGCCGGAAGACCAAGGGUUCCUGUCCAACGUUAAUCGGGGCAGGGUGAGUCGACCCCUAAGGCGAGGCCGAAAGGCGUAGUCGAUGGGAAACGGGUUAAUAUUCCCGUACUUGGUGUUACUGCGAAGGGGGGACGGAGAAGGCUAUGUUGGCCGGGCGACGGUUGUCCCGGUUUAAGCGUGUAGGUGUGUGUUCCAGGUAAAUCCGGUUCACUUUAACACUGAGGCGUGAUGACGAGGCACUACGGUGCUGAAGCAACAAAUGCCCUGCUUCCAGGAAAAGCCUCUAAGCAUCAGGUAACAUCAAAUCGUACCCCAAACCGACACAGGUGGUCAGGUAGAGAAUACCAAGGCGCUUGAGAGAACUCGGGUGAAGGAACUAGGCAAAAUGGUGCCGUAACUUCGGGAGAAGGCACGCUGACAUGUAGGUGAAGUGAUUUACUCAUGGAGCUGAAGUCAGUCGAAGAUACCAGCUGGCUGCAACUGUUUAUUAAAAACACAGCACUGUGCAAACACGAAAGUGGACGUAUACGGUGUGACGCCUGCCCGGUGCCGGAAGGUUAAUUGAUGGGGUCAGCGCAAGCGAAGCUCCUGAUCGAAGCCCCGGUAAACGGCGGCCGUAACUAUAACGGUCCUAAGGUAGCGAAAUUCCUUGUCGGGUAAGUUCCGACCUGCACGAAUGGCGUAAUGAUGGCCAGGCUGUCUCCACCCGAGACUCAGUGAAAUUGAACUCGCUGUGAAGAUGCAGUGUACCCGCGGCAAGACGGAAAGACCCCGUGAACCUUUACUAUAGCUUGACACUGAACAUUGAGCCUUGAUGUGUAGGAUAGGUGGGAGGCUUUGAAGCGUGGACGCCAGUCUGCGUGGAGCCGACCUUGAAAUACCACCCUUUAAUGUUUGAUGUUCUAACGUGGACCCGU